UAUUUGGACGUUGAUUCGAACUUGUUUACUUUCAGACAGUACAUUGGAGUUCAUACAAACUAAACGUGGUCUUGGUUCGUCGUUGAUUUUCAAAAAACACGCUUACUGUUGUGUGAAUAAAAUGAAGACACGAUGGAAAUGCAUCAAAAGGACGAAUGGUUGUAAAGCGCAGAUAAUCACCACUCCGAAGGGGCAUUUGGUUGAUCUCCUCAACUGUGAACACAACCACCCAGCGCCUGUUUUGAUUAGAACGACGGACGGCAAGCUUUGCUAAUACAUGAUUUUACUAGCCAUCUAAUAGAAUAAGUGUUUGUGGUAUAGCUUAUACUGUUACACAUGCUCUAAAAUAGCAUGCUAAAAACGUGCUAAUAAGUAUGCUACAUACGAGCAUGCUUACCAUGUUUACAUUUGCUAGCAUCCUUUCUUUAAGUAUGCUCCUGAAUAAGCAUGCUCAAAGCAAACAUUCCAAUUACACAUGCUAAUUUGUAUCUAUCACUCUCUGUCUAUAGUAUCGUGUUUCACAGGGAGAGAUGAAGAGAAUACAGAAUAGUAAUGCUGAUUAACUAGCAUACUCAAUAAGCUAUCCUGUUCAGACGCGCUAAAAGCAUGCUCCCUUCCACCCGCGCAGCAAGUAGCAUGCUCAUAAAUUGCACGACUGUUUAUUCUUGAGCAAGCUCGAAAUAAGCAUGCUUAUUAUUAGCAAUGAUGCGAUACACAUGCUAAUAAGUGGCAACUACUCAAUAGUAGCAUGCUUUCGUGCUUGAAAUGAGCAUGUGUAACAGUAGUUUGAGCAUAUUUUGUUUGUAAACACUGUUAGAUCGUAUAAAUAAAAGCUAUUAAGUUAUUAUGUCAUUGUAUAAUUUUACUAAUGCUAUAGCCACACAAUCCGAUAAAACUGAUCGUGUGUUGGUCGCAAUCUCCAUGACAUCAUGCAGAUUUAUCAGCUGUCCUGCCGUUAGCGCUGCAGUCACGUGGACUUAUUGGAUGAUGUACUGGAAUACUAUCCAACACAUCGUGGCAAGGGCAUGAUGCUUAUAUACAAGGGCUACACCUACGCUCAUAUGACUCACAACACCCGCUGGUACUGUUCGAAGAAGGGGCGCGGAUGCAGGGCGCGCCUGGUAACGACCCCUGAAGGGACACUGGUCGAGGUCAUCGAGAGUGAGCAUAAUCACCCACCCCCCAACUCUGUAUAGGACUAUGGACGGGAAGAUUUAUAAAGUACUUGAUACAGUUCGCAAAGAAUCCCCGCGGUACCGGGGACGUUCUCAUCUAUAUGGGCCAUACUUACUCACGUAUGCACAUAAACAACAAGACCCGAUGGCACUGCACUAGAAGGAAGGCGGGUUGCAAAGCGCGAUUGAUCACAACACCGGAAGGGGUGUUUGUUGGAGAAUUUGGAGAGCACGAUCACGGUACUCCAACUUUAUACAGGACCGCUGACGGCAAAGUUUACUCCUAUAUGUAGUUUUCACCAAAUAUAUACGAGGGGUGUUCAAAAAGUAAGGUGACUUUUAAAUUUUCACGGGCAACGUACAUUCGAUUAUCGAUUUUUCGUUGUUGUUGUGUUGCUACACAUCUCCUGAAUUUAUGUUUGGAGUUUCAAACAUAGCAUACUUAGUUUGUUUUUCACAGGUAAAAAGGUAUUCUGUUGCGCUCGGCAAUUUUGAUCUGAAGAACCGUCGCAUGCGCAUCGCUCAGUAGCUUUUAUAUGACAUCAGUGAUGAUCUUCCUAUGUUCAAAAGAAUCAUAACUGGUGACGUGUCGUGGGUAUAUAAUAAUAAUAUAAUAAUAAUACCUCCGUCCACGUACACUUCUCAAAUGGCAAGGCCAAAAAGUGCAUUUGUACUAUCUGAGAGGGAUUACUUUGAAGGAGACAAUAUUGAUGAAUAAAUAAAAUUUUUUUCAUAAAAAUAUAAAUUCACCUUACUUUUUGAACAGGGUAGUAUAUUUCAUCUAAAUACUAGUGGACCCGGCCAAGCUUCGCUUUGACUCAUUCCCUACCCCUAUCCUAUUCCAGUCCCACCUGGCACCUACCCUAACCUACUCUCAUCAUCAUCAUCAUCAUUGUCAACCCAUAUCCGGCUCACUGCUGAGCUCGAGUCUCUUCUCAGAAUGAGAGGGGUUAGGCCAAUAGUCCACAACGCUGGCCCAAUGCGGAUUGGCAGACAUCACACACGCAGAGAAUUAAGAAAAUUAUCGAAUGUGCAGGUUUCCUCACGAUUCCUUCACCGUUUGAGACAUGUGAUAUUUAAUUUCUUAAAAUGCACACAACUGUAAAGUUGGAGGUGCAUGCCCCGGACCGGAUUCGAACCUACGCCCUCCGGAAUCGGAGGCAGAGGUCAUAACAUUAUUUGUGUUUUAGGAAGGAUCCCUAAUUUUUUUGAAAAUAUAGCCUGUAGCACUCAGGGAUAGUGUAGCUUCCCAACAGCGAAAGAAUUUUUCUAAUUGGUGCAGUAGUUUCGGAGCCUAUUCAAUACAUACAAACAAACAAAAAAUCAAAUCUUUCCUCUUUAUAAUAUAUAGAUAGAAGAUAGAUAGAUAUAAUAUAAUAACAUAGGUAUAUUGAAUUAAAAUGUAGAAACCAAACUAGCGGUAUAAGAAGACCCGGCGUCUGUUAAUUCAUGGUAGAAUUCGGUGUUCGCCAAGGAUGAUUUCCCGAAUAGGGAUGAUGGCAGUUUUUUAAAUUGUAUUUAAAUUAAGAGUAGGUAUGCUAAUAGUAAAGCAAUUUUGCAAAAGGAACAGGGUAUCUGCGAUCAUUACUUUCGGAGCUACAGGGAUUUAAAGGGUCAGAUUUGCGGCGCUGCCACGGAUCCCUGAAAAACGCCCCAUACAAAAUGGCACGAACUAAUGACGUCGUAGGUAAUGUAAUGAUCGUUAGAUUCAAAUGUGCGUUCAAACAAAAUUACUAAUAUCUUUGUUAUUUGUGCGAUUAUGUCUAUAGUUCACAUAUUAAAAACUGUCACAUUUAAUGUAAGGAAGCUAAAACUGUAUGAAUUUUCAUCUAAUUACGAUAAAAGAUUUUUGAUAGUUUUUGAAAUUUUAUAAUCUCAUUUAUUUUGCAAAUAUCCAGAAAAUCUUUGCUUUUUAUGUAUAAAUCAGUUAACAUUGACCUUAUUUACCCGAAUGUAUAAUAAAAAUCAAUAUAUUCAUAGCUAGUCAUCAUCCCCAUUCUUCGUCAUCUACGUCAACGUUGAUUCUGGAAAAGCUGCGGAGCACCUAGUUUGGUUUUAUACAGGGGCUACUUGCUUGAAUAGUUUUGACAACGGAGAUGAUUCAUAAGGUUCUUCUUAAUGAACAAAACUUUAGGUUUAAUAUUUUUUUUAAAUAGCAUUAGCUAGCUUACUGAUGAAUUAUAAUGAAGAUUUUAAUACAUUUAUAUUUUGUACUAACUAGCUUUUAUAUUUAUUUUUUAAACUUUUUAAAAGUAUCUUAUAAAUUUUAAAUCAUAUUGAAAUUUAUUUUAAGUAUAUGUUAUGAUUGAGUGUUAUAGUUCAUUUAAGUUUUCUUUUAAUAAAAAUUCGAAACUAUUUAUUUUUUUUUAUUUCAUAGGCCUUCGAUACUAGAGUAGUUGCACUAAUUUCUUAUCAUUCCCUAUAAAUGUGAUUUAUGAGUAAGUAUAGCGGGAAUAUAUAAUGUUUAUGAAGGAAUUGGAAUCAUGGCUUUAAAGCCAACUUGAUCCUUUGGGGUCAUUAGUCAUUUGGGGGAAGUUACAUGCACCAUAAUGAUAGAUAAGAGAGUUAUUCCAAUGUAGGUGUGUAUGAUGUUAUGUAAUAUCGUUACUAAGCGAUGAUACUGCAUAUUGAGUAUGCUGCUUUCAUAAUAAAGUUAGUUAAAUUGUAUAUGGCAAAAUAAAUACGUUUAUAAAAAGUUUCAAAUAUCGGUAAGUACAGAUUUAUUGGAAUUAGACUAGUUCGACUUUUUAAUAUACUCUUUUAUAAUGGUAAUUUGACCAUCCCUUCUAUUUAUUGGACGAUAUUAAGAACAAACAGUUGUAUAUAGUUUAAUUCGAUCAUACAAUUUUUAUUACCGAAACGGUUAAAAACCAUAUCUCUAUAUUUGUAUAGGUCACAACAUCCAUGUACAAGGCGAAGUAGGUUAAAUUUGUAGUAUAUCGAAAUGGAUAAAAAGUAAAUAAAGAAUUAAUUCAAUGACAAGCUUUUCAAUUCUUAAUACAAGAUUUUAUCUCUUAAAUAAAAUGGAUAACAAAUGUUUUGUAUACUCUUACAGAUUUGAUACAGUUCGCGAAGAGUCCCCGCGGUACCGGGGUCGUCCUCAUAUAUAUGGGCCAUACUUACUCACGUAUGCACAUAAACAACAAGACCCGAUGGUACUGCACUAGAAGGAUGUCGGGUUGCAAAGCGCGAUUAUUCACAACACCAGAAGGGGUGUUGGUUGGAGCAUUUGGAGAGCACGACCAUGCUCUUCCACGACUGUACCGGACGCCUGAUGGGAAAGUUCUGAAGCUGAAAUGAUUGAAAUUAAAGACUCUUAAUACCUGUACAUAUAUUCUUUUUGAGUGACCUGAAAGUGAUUUUUUUUUUAAAUUCAAAAGUUGUAGCCGACAAUGAACACGUGCUUGACAUAUAUAUUUAUAAUUGGUACCCUGGUAAGAAAUCAGUGACUGUUACUAUAGUACUGCCAGGACUUAUAAAUUAGUAUCUAAUAUAAAAAUAAAAACUUAAUCUAUCUAAUGGUUAGGUAGAUUCAGUAAGGUUAGGUUAUAUGUCCAUUUUACUUGAUGUACUUUUGCAAAGUGGUUACAUAUUUUUAUGCUGUAUAGUAUAAUAAGACUUUUUUUAGUUGCAGACGUUUUAGAAUUCGUGCCAAGUAAUCGAGGCAAAGGCACCACGCUAAUAUACAAAGGUUACACUUACGCUCACAUGAACAGUAAAACUAGAUGGUACUGCUCCAAAAGGCAGUCAGGGUGCAAGGCGCGCCUGACUACGACACCCCAGGGGGUGUUAGUUGAAGCUUUUGGAGAGCACGAUCACCAUUCUCCAUAUUUAUACAGGACCGCUGAUGGCAAAGUUUACGUAUCGUUCAAACUAUAGAUCUUAUACUCAAAAUGUUGGUAUCUUUUUUGAAACCACGCAUUCUAAAUCUGUUAAAAUGGUGUAUAGAAAUCAAACUAGCGAUGUAAGUAGUCGCGGCAUCUAGCGAAUUUAAGGUAGAAUGCGGUGUUCGCCAAGGAGGAUUUACCCUUACCGAAUUCUUCGUCUUCUAUGUCAACGCCCAGAUUGAGUCUGGAAAAGCUUUGGAGCAUCAAGUUUGGUACAUAUAUACAGGGCCUAUUUGCUUGAAUAGUUUUUGGCAACGCGGAUAAUACAUAUAGUUUUUCUUAAUAAACAAAACUUUAAGUUUUACAUUUUUUUUUAUAUAGCAAGCUAGCUUACUGUUGAAUUAAAAUAGGUAUUAGUUUAAUUUUAAUUACAAUUGUCUUAAUACAUUUGUAUUUUUGUACUAACUACAUUUAAUAUUUAUUAUUAAGAAUAACUAAUUUGUACUUUUUAUUUGUAAACGCAGAGGCCUUAGAAUUCGUCCCAAGUAAUCGCGGCAAAGGCAUGACCCUUAUCUACAAGGGUUAUACCUACGCUCAUAUGACCAGUAAGACUAGAUGGUACUGUUCCAAAAGGCUGUCAGGGUGCAAGGCGCGCCUGACUACGACGCCCCAGGGAGCGUUAGUUGAAGCUUUUGGAGAGCACGAUCACCAUUCUCCAUAUUUAUACAGGACCGCUGAUGGCAAAGUUUACGUAUCGUUCAAAAUAUAGAUGUUAUACUCAAAAUGUUGGUAUUUUUUUUGAAACCACGCAUUCUAAAUCUGUUAAAAUGAUGUAUAGAAACCAAACUAGCGGUGUAAGUAGUCGCGGCAUCUAGCGAAUUUAAGGUAGAAUGCGGUGUUCGCCAAGGAGGGUUUACAUUUCCCGAAUUCUUCGUCUUCUAUGUCAACGACCAGAUUGAGUCUGGAAAAGCUGUGGAGCAUCAAGUUUGGUACGCUUCAUGUAGGUGAUGCCCUAUUUGUAUAGGACGACUGAUGGAAAAGUUUUAAAGUACUAUAAAUAAAAUAAGUAAAAAAGUAAAACAAAUACGUACUGUACUUCAUUAUAAAUCAUGGAUUUUUGCGAAGUAACUACAGCUUUUUAAUUUUAGUACAAUAGAAUAUUAUUCUUUUUUAGAUGCUGAAACUUUACAAUUCAUUCGUAGUUAUCGCAGCAAAGGUAUCCAUAUUAAUUUACAAGGGUUACACAUUCGCUAACGUGAACAAUAAGACGAAAUGGUAUUGUUCAAAAAGCCAGUCAGGGUGCAAGGCGCGCCUUACUACUACACUCCAGGGGAAGGUGGUUCAAGCGCUCGGUGAGCACGACCAUUAUCCUCCACAGUGUUUUAGGACCGCUGCUGGCAAAGUAAUUAGACUACAGUGAAUAAAAUUAUAACUAAUAUGCUUGUGUUUAUAAUUAAUCAUAUAUCUAUCUAUCUAUCAAUAAUUAGAUGAAUGUCUAAACAAAUAUUUUAUUAAACUUGUCGAUUUAAUGUUCGCCUAUAACAAGUUUUAUUAGAAUUUUAUUUUAAAAUAGAGCAAUGUUAAAGAAUGAUUGGUUCAGACAGGUUUGUUUAUUUAUUCAUAAUGGAGUUUUGCAAAGUAACUACAGAUUUUUAUUUAUAUAAGUAUAAGAAUGUAAAAGAAAACGUUUUUUUUAUGCAGACACUUUACAAUUCGUUCCAAGUUACCGCGGCAAAGGUAUCAUGUUGAUCUACAAGGGUCAUACCUACACUCACAUGAACAGUAAGACAAGAUGGUACUGUUCCAAGAGGCAGUCAGGGUGUAAGGCGCGCCUUACCACAACACCGCAGGGCGUUUUGGUUGAAGCUUUUGAUGAGCACGAUCAUUAUCCACCACAAUUGUUUAGGACUGCAGAUGGUAAAAUUAUAAGACUUCAAUAAAUAAAACUAUACGUAUUAUGCUUGUGUUUGCAAUGAAUCUUACCAAAAUUAGAAGUAAGAUGACGUAACCAGCCUGCCUAUCCUGCCUGUUAUUGUUAUUUAUGUUAUUUAAUGCUAACUGGCCAAAAUUAAGCAUUAAAAAUUGAGCAAUCAAAAGCAAAGCAAAAAUCACGUCUAUAGCAGAAUAACUAGUUGGUUAAUUAAGAACCUAUACAUACUCGUAUUAUAUAACUUUAGUGUUACACUAAAGAUAUUCAAGUUAGUGAAUUGGCCUACCGUUAUUGAUUUGGUUUAUCAUCUUCUCAUAUUGUCAAAUGGUUAAAUAAAUGAAAUUCAGAUUUUAAAAUUUACAUUUGCUACACUGAAGAACAGUUGUAAGAUUUCCGUCUUAAACGAAAAAAAAUUUGCCUUAUGUUUUUCGGGCAUAUGUUACAUGUCUAUGUCUAUUGUUUAAUUCUUUGUCACUUGACGGAUUUCAACAUGAGAUGUCAUUACUAUUGUCUUAAAUACACAAACACAGUCCAUCUUUUUGGGUUUUGAUAUAAGGUUAAUUUCGUUUUAGAUGUCGACGUUUUAGAGUUUAUACCAAGCAAUAGGGGCAAAGGUAUCACCUUGAUAUACAAGGGGUAUACAUACGCUCAUAUGCACAGCAAAACCAGGUGGUACUGUUCAAAGAAGGCAGCUGGGUGCAAAGCUCGACUCAUCACUAGCGCUACCGGAGAACUGGUUGAAGUUCUCGAGUCUCAUCACAUUCAUGAGCCUCCGAAUUUAUAUAGAACCAUGGAUGGAAAGAUUUAUAAAGUUUAAUAAUUAUAAUUUUUAGAAUUAAAAACUUAGUUUAAAACACGGCUAAAACUCAAGCUGGGUCUUGCAACGUGGCGCGAGAUAAACUUAAGAAAGAACCAGGUCAUGACUAAGGGUCCCGUGUAAGUUAGAAUCUGGUUGGGCACACUCCGAUGUUGUAUCACGUGAGUUUUAGCCGUGAAUAUGAAUAAAUAUACUUAAAUAAAUACAUUUAAUAUCACAGUCGAUAGUUUAACUUCUUUAAUUUUUAUUAUAACAUAUUUUUAAUGGUCUUUAUUUGAGUUUUAUUGUAAUUAACGUGAUAGCAGUGGAUAUUACCUCUGCUUUCAAAUCGUAGGGAGUAUGCACCGGUCCAGUGCAUGCACCUUUAACUUUUCGGUUAUGUGUAUUUCAAUAAAUUAAAUAUCACAUGUCCCAAGCGGUGAAGGAAAAAUAUCGUGAGGAAUUCUGCAUUCCAGAUAACCCCUCUCAUUCUAAGAGGAGACUUGUGCUCAACAAUGAGCCGAAUAUGGGUUGUUAAUGAUUUGGUGGGGUGAAAGUUUCUGCAGCGCUCUCACAUCAUCAUCCGAACACCCUCGUCGGUUGGGUCUGCUAUUAUUUUGUUACUAAGUUAAUUUUCUUUUUCAGAAUUAUUGAAACAAGUGAAGUUGCGAAACGGGAAGACGCUUGUCAUGUACAAAGGUUACACAUACUCGUACCACGGCAAUAAGAAUAAAAAGGAGUAUCUUUACUGCUCAAAGUCGAUACGUGGUAAAUGUCCAGCUCGUAUGAAAAAGACUGAAGACGGCACGCUUGUGUUAGUGGAAACGAAACAUAAUCACGUGCCACCAUUUCUGCAGAUGUGUUCAGAUGGCACGUACGCUAAGAUUGUUUGAAAUUGUGGAAUAUCCCAAACGUUUGCUAUAUUUUCAUAUUCACAUUGAUUCGUUAUAUUUUGAUAUUUAAAAAUUUAUUAUAAAUUAAAUGUAAAUACUUUUACAUUUAAUUUAUAAUAAAUUAAAUGUAAUUUUUAAAUUAAAUUAAACAAGCUUGCAUUUUACUGCUAUAUGUUCAGUGGCGCUAAUAUGCGACCAACGAGAUAAUCGUGAAGAGAAGUAGAGAAAAUUCAAACAAUGACGGCGCAACCGGAUAUACCGCGAUCUAUGUCCUUAUGUUGGUACGAAAGAAAUGGGACUGGGACAGCUCCGACGCUAUUGGACGAAUAUUUGUCUAUAUUUUCAGUCUCUUCACUGGUCACAUGUUAGCACCUCUGAUGUUAAGUUAGUUUCUAUACACUCAAAAGUAAGUAACAUCCAAUACUUUCUUUUGAGAUAAUUUUUUGCGCUAAUAGUGUGCUUAUAUUGAUUAAGAGUUGUUUUUUUAACUUAGUUAUUAGUAGUACUUAUAAUAAUAAUUAUUAUUACAGAGAAUUGAAUAGACCACUAUACAUUGCUUUCAUCGACUACACUAAGGCGUUCGACACUUAGUAGUACUUAGAGAAGGUUUAUUGAUUUCAUUCUGAUUUCGUCAAGUUUUUAUCGAACUUUGACGUGUUAAGGCCCUAGGAAGACAGGUGUCCUAAAGACACCUAAUAUGUAUGUUGAAACUACUAGUGACGAAAAUCUUAGCGCCGCCUUAAAACUGAUUAUAGUAGGUAGCUUUCACGUAUAGCUUAUAUUUCACUUCUUAGAUAAGUGGGUACUUUUUUAUGUUAUUUACUUGGUUGAAAUAUUUUAUAAUAUUUUUUGUUGAUUAUAAUAUGAUUAAUACUUAUAUUAAAUAUAGUUAUUAUCUAAUCCAACAAAAUCUUUUUCUUGGAUUUGAAAUAGUACAAUAAUUUUUAUUUAUAAUUCCGUACCAUCAAGUCGACGUUCCGGACACUUUAUAAUAUACUACCGGACGCCCGCGACUUCAUCCGCGUAGAAUUCAGUUUUUCACAAAUCCCGCGGGAAUCAUGGAUUUUCCGGGAUGAAAAAUAGCCAAUGUGUUAAUCCAGGGCAGUAUCUAUCUUCAUUUUAAUUUCAACCAAAUCGGUUAAGUAGUUGGGGCAUUAAAGAGAACAUUUACAUCCUCCAUCAUCCCUUAUUUUAUACCUACGGGGGUUGAAUUUAUUAAAAUCCUAUUUAAGCGAACGUCUUCAUCAUAGUAGCUCCAAUCUUUAAUUUCAGUUCAAUCAGUCGAAAAUCUUAGAAGAUUUUUAUAAACUUUCAUCCCCUAUUUUAUCCCCUAGGGGGUAGAAUUGAUCAAAAAGCUUUCUUAGCGGAUGCCUACGUCAUAACAUCUACCUGCAUACCAAAUUUCAGCCCGAUCCAUCCAUCCAUCCAGUGGUUUGGGCUGUGAGUUGAUGGAUCACUGUCAGUCAGUCAAUCAGUCAGUCACCUUUGAGUUAUAUAUAUUUAGAUUUAACAUAACGUGGAUAAUGUUAUUUUUUAUAAAAAUUGUAAGUAAACAAGCAAGCUGUUAGGUCUGGUGUUGGUGAUGUAAUAAUUAUAUGCGCCGGCAGAAAAUACCUGGUAAAACGAUUGGUCAUUCAAUACCAAGCAUUUGGAUGGUGGGAUUGAAAGAUUUUACUGCGUGAGGCACCGUGGGGUUAGCUUAAACAGCUUUUCACUUCUCCUCGGUCAGAUCCGCUAGUAUUUUGUUACUUAAGUUAAUUUUUUCUUUUUUAGAAUUGAAAGAUCUGAAGUUACAAAAUGGCAAGACGCUGGUCAUGUACAAACGGUAUACAUACUCGUACCACGGCACGGCACGGGAACAUCUGUACUGCUCAAAGUCCAUGCGUGCUAAUUGUCCAGCUCGUAUGAAAAUUACUAAAAAUGGCACGCUUUUGAUAUUAGAGAGCAAGCAUAACCACGUGCCGCCAGUUCUACAAAAGUGUUCAGAUGGCACGUAUGCUAAGAUUGCUUGAGAUGGUGGAGCAUUUUAAACAUUCGAUAUAAUUUUGAUAUUCACAUUGAUUGACAAUCGUGUAAUAACAUUUAUGUUUUAAUUCAAUUUAACAAGCUAGCCUCUGACUGCCAUAUCACCUGAUGUUAAGUGGCAAUGCAGUCGUAUCUAUACUAAUAUUAUUAAGUGGAAGAGUUUGUUUGUUUGUUUGAUUAAACGUGCUAAUCUCAGGAACUACUGGUCCGAUUUGAAAAAUACUUUCAGUGGUCGAUAGCCCAUUUAUUGUGGAAGGCUGAAGGCUAUAUUAUAUUUUCAAAAAAAUUAGGAAUCCUUCCUGAAACUCCAAUAAUGUAACCCAAGGUGUAUAGACGCACCGCGGUUUCACCCACGUAGACCUGUUUCACGCGGUUUCACCUGUUCCCGAAAGAACACAGAGUAAAAAUAUUGCCUAUGACACUCGCAAAAAACGUAGCUACGUAAGGUAAGUUUUUUCAAAAUCGGUUCUGUAGAUCCAGAGAUUACAAUCACAUAAACUUUACCACUUGCAAUCUAAUUAAAUAAAAGUUAAAGGUGACUGACUGAUACACAAACAUCAUUGAUACAAAGUGAUCAAUCAACGCACAGCCCAAACCACUGGACGGAUCGGGCUGAAAUUUGGCAUGCAGGUAGAUUUUAUGACGUAGGCAUCCACUAAGAAAGGAUAUUGAUCAAUUUUACCCCCAAGGGAUAAAAUAGGGGAUGAAAGUUUGUAUGAAACUUUGCCAGUAGCUGAAAUUUGGAAUAGAAAUGGAUUUUACUCUGGAUUAACACAUAGUCAUUCAUUUCAUUCCGGAAAAAUUCAUGGUUCCCGUGGGAUUUGUGAAAACUAAAUUUCACGCGGACGAAGUCACGGGCGUCCGCUAGUUUAUUUAUAUAAGUAAAAAUAACAUGUAUCUUAUGACACAAGUUAAUUUGACCCCUAUCCAUGCCAAUCUUGCUAAGAUUUCUUGAAAUUUUGUGGCAUACAGUACUUUUGUUUGUGUGUAUAAGAUGUUGUAUGUCGAAAGUGUGCAAUUAUGUGGUUACAUUUUUAUGUUUUAGAAGUUGGUUAAACUAUUUUAUAAUAAAUUUUUUGUAUGUUAUAUGAUUUAUACUACUAUUAAAUACAGUUACUAUCUAAUCCAAUAAAAACUAUUUGCGUUUAUUAAAA